AAAAACUCAACGAGUAAAGUCUUCUUAUUUGGGAUUUUACAAUCUUAUCGGUUUUAAUGGGUUCAAAUGACAAUAUGUCGCAUUAAGGAAACGAUUUCCACGUUAUCCCUUAUGGGGAUUGGGCACCCAUAUUUUCAGAGGCCGAGUCAGAUUGCAAUCCCUGCAAUUUGAACAAGGGUGUGUUUACUUUCGGCUACCCCUUUGAUUGCCCGAUUGCGUGGGCCGGGCCAAUGUCUUUUGGACAUGUUUGUCGCGACCGCGAUUCGAUAUCAGUUGUACUGGCGGAGAUAAGCCAUAAAUAAACGGAGGGAAAGAAAACAUUUCACAGAAACAAAAAACAAAAAAAAAUGGUAUUCAUAUCUAUGUGGUUUACCUGUACAUCGAAAAACCGGUUCGCAGAUUCUUUUCACCUGGGCGAACUGCCAAUCUGGGAGACGAGGUAAAAGUGCCAAAAUGUAUAUCGUUUUAAUGGGUUCUCUAUGUGAGGCCGAGACUGUGUGUAGUGCAAUCAGAAAGCAUAAUCGAGGCAAUCGACCAUGAAACUGAGCAACAACUACGCAAACUAUCUAUAAGAUACAUUUCCCAUCGCACAGCCAAUUGUGGCCAGGAAGGGGGGAAAAGUUUAUACAGAACUUCCUGUUGCUAAAAUUUACAACGGAACGUUUUCAACAUUGAAUUCGAAUAUUGGCAAAUAUUGGUUGGAUUUCAAAGCACUGGUAUUUUGAUUUCAGCUUUUGAACGCGCGACGGCGACGAACACAACUGAGUUAUGAAAACUGAAUGAAAAGCACAAAGCAGAGCAAAGUAAACUUGUUUGCCGCCUGCCCACCCCCAACAAAGGCAGGGAAAGAGCGAGCAAUAUGAAGAGAGAGAGAAACAUCAAUAUUGGCGCUUUUUAGCAUUUUGACUUAACAACACUGGCAGUGAGAACGAGGCAUUACCAUCUGGUAAAAAAGCUUUCAAAACUUGUUGCUCUUGUCUCUUUUGUUUUUCUCUUUCCCAAAAAUAUAAGAAACCGACACUUUAAAGAUAUAUUAACGAAUAUCGAAAAUAAUUGGAGUCUUAAAUUGUUCGAACUCGUAGUAUUCGUAUAUUUUAUACAGAUUAGAGUAUAUCCCUUACAGUUUUCGAUUUACCCCUCUCUUUCUCUUCUUAAUGCCCCUCUCUUUCUCGCACACCAAAACCGCUGCAAAUUUGAAUUAAUGGUUCACCCUGUUGCUUUUUAUCUUUUAAUUGAGCUGAGCUGCAAUUCAAGUGGACCGUGUGAGAUCUACGAGCUCUGGGGUUUUCCCCGCUUCGGGAAAGAAAAUCAUCUUAAUUGAAUUCAUUCAUAAAUUGCAGCUUUGAACUGGACCAACAAGUCUCUAUCUGGUAAACAUCUACGAGAGUGGUCCAUAAUUUAGCAAAAUUAAAUGAAAGGCUGUUUGGAAAAUGGUUUUAUUGAUGUCAUUCAGUUGUGAUAAAAAUGUAAUCACUGAGGAAUUAAUUUUAAAUGGAUUAAUAUAAGAUUUAUUUAUUGUAGAGAGUUAUUGAAAUGAAAUCCAUAGAAUGUAUUAUAACCUUUGUUUACUCCUUUUCCCUUCUAAUAUCUUUGCUAAUUGAAAUGCCAUAUUUCCCAUAUUUUUCCAACUGUAAUAACAAAUUUCUCAAUAAUGGAAAUCUUAAAUCAAGUGAAAGAACUAAAAUUUAGUAACUGCAAUCCCACCACAGCACUGAUCCUAUAAACAGACCGAAGGGGCGCCGAAAGAUAUCUUAACAUUGCCCCAAGAUGAGGAAUAGUCGGCGCAAGAGUAAAUCCCCCAAACCACGGCAUGAUCGCCUGCUACACCGCAGUCCGUCCGUUUGUCCGCUCAUCUGUCCGUUCGUCGGACAGUCCGUUCCCCCAAUUGACGUCAACGGCGCCGACUAAAGUCAGUGAGGCAGGCCGUAAGAGGCACGUACUGGAAAUCAAAUGAUGUAGUUUCUACAUUAUAUAGACAAAGGCGACGUCGGCAAUGGAAAGCAGGGUACAGAAAUAAAACAUUCGGUUCCACUUUAGAACGAGACGAAGAGCAACGCACAAAAUCCAACAAAGAUCCAGAUAUUGGCUAUAUAAGCGAAUACAAUUAUAUUUUUAGAGGAGAUACAAGAAAUCUUUUAUCAAUUUAAGAGAAUUUUACUCAGAUACUUUCUUGGCCCAGGUCGAGAGUGCGAAUUGGCAGAUGUUUCGUUGCGUCUGGAAUCGUUCAAUAUCAAUAGAUAUAUCUGGGCUAACCACUUUAAAUGGGCAACUGGAAAUCCCCGGGCCAACUGCAGUUGACGCAUUUCCAGUCGACGCAUUUGUGUCUUAAUAAACAAAAGCCGCAUGAAAUUUAUUAUAAACAAAUAGCUUGCUAUCGUUCGAUCUAUGUGCCGGCAAUUUUAAUGGUUUGUGUUGUUUGGUUCUCUGAAUUUGCCAACGAAAAUGAGCAGAAAACGUGUUUGAAAAGUGGAAAAUUAAUGUUUAUUUUUAAUAGAUUGGAACUAUUUAAAGUGUGGCACUACGCACCAAACUGCGUUUUAAUUUUCAGCUUCAGUUCGUUUUAUGACCGCAUAUUUAAAGUUUGAAAUGACAUUUACAACCUGCGCUGGCCUUUAAAAAUGGUUAUAAAUGCAUUUGGAUUUUGUGAAAGCUGAGAACAUAUCUUUUUUAAACAAACCUAAUUUUAUAAUAUACUGUAAAAAUCAAGUAACGACAAAUAUGAAAUAAAUUGGCACUUCCUGUUUUCACUCGCAAUUU